GAGAGUUUGAUCCUGGCUCAGGAUGAACGCUGGCGGCGUGCUUAACACAUGCAAGUCGAGCGAAGCAUAAAAACAGAUUUCUUCGGAAUGAAAUUUUUAUGACUGAGCGGCGGACGGGUGAGUAACGCGUGGGUGACCUGCCUCAUACAGGGGGAUAACAGACAGAAAUGUCUGCUAAUACCGCAUAAGCGCACAGUGCUGCAUGGCACAGUGUGAAAAACUCCGGUGGUAUGAGAUGGACCCGCGUCUGAUUAGCUAGUUGGUAAGGUAACGGCUUACCAAGGCGACGAUCAGUAGCCGGCCUGAGAGGGUGAACGGCCACAUUGGGACUGAGACACGGCCCAAACUCCUACGGGAGGCAGCAGUGGGGAAUAUUGCACAAUGGGGGAAACCCUGAUGCAGCGACGCCGCGUGAAGGAAGAAGUAUUUCGGUAUGUAAACUUCUAUCAGCAGGGAAGAAAAUGACGGUACCUGACUAAGAAGCCCCGGCUAACUAC
rnacentral:rRNA from 1 species